AUGGGAUCUGUUUGGACACGGCGAGAGAGACAGUUUGCGCAUACUCAGGUUAGGGGAUGCUACCCGUCCUUCAUGGUGCAGUUUGAUAGUUUGCACGAGGAUCAAGUUAUUUGGGAGCCAUACUCGCCUCAGGCUAUAUCAUCGAGGUACCCAGUUGGGAUUUCUGAAUUGUGCACUAGAGAUCGGCACUUUUGGAUGACCAAGGCCAAGUUGGUGUUCGACGUGACGGUUGAGGAGAUGUCUCUUCAUAGGGUGAUGAGACAGUUCGGUCUAUAUCAAGAGCCUGUGAUUCCAGAUAUUCCACACUUGCCAGACCACGUGCACAAGGACAGUCGCCUAGGAGGAAACAAGUCCAUGACUUAUUGGCUUGAGAGCAUUACCCCUUACGUUGACGAAUGGACUACCGCUGCGACAAAUAUCUGGGGUGAGGUUCGGCCCUUUAACUGUGAAAUGUUUGGGUUGUAUCUGCAGCGUUACCGGCAUACAACGAGGAUCUACUUGGUUCCAUCAGCUGCUACUGAUCAGAUCGAAGCCCCUCUCACCAGCGAUAUGUACCCAACUGCCUCUGUUGUGGGAACCAGACACCACGCGGGUGACUUGACAGUACAGGCGCGAGAGGAGGUUUCCGCUUUAAUGCGGCGCUUUCAGAGGGGAGAAACUAUCCCACCGCGAGAGGGCGUCUCAUGGUUGAGGCGUCUUGAUGACAAGCUACGCGGGAUUUACGCAGCUGUUACGUGUAGACGGACUUCGGAUGUUGCACUUCCUCCUCCAGCACAUCGUCCGCCACGUCCCUCUGUACAACAUUCAGAACCACGACCCUCUGUGCACCGUUCAGAACCACGACCCUCUGUGCACCGUGCAGAACCUCAUCCUUCACAGCCAGGGAGAUCUUACUGGCAUGAGCCACCUCCUUCACAGCCAGGGAGAUCUUCCUGGCAUGAGCCACCUCCUUCACAGCCAGGGAGCUCUUCCUGGCAUGAGCCACCUCCUUCACAGUCAGGGAGCUCUUCCUGGCAUGAGUCACCUCCUUCACAGCUAGGGAGCGCUUACUGGCAUCAGCAGAUGAAUCUAGGCGGCAACCAGUCGCAACCGUUCAUGCAUUCAGAGCAGUCACCGAUCCUUAGUGGUGGUGCUUCGUACUUUGAGGGCGACCGCGAGGAUGAUGACCAAGCUACAAACAUUUAUGGCUUCUCGCAGACAGUGUUUCACACUCCACCACCACCACCGACGCAGGAGACACAGACCGUGACAGACGAGGUUAACUAUGGUCGUGGUUAUCGCGAGCCUCGUCCACCGCCUCAGCGCUUAUCGCCUUCGGGUCCUCGCCCGAGGAAGACCCAGACUCGUCGUCGUCCCCCGCAGUGA
rnacentral:rRNA from 1 species